UGCUUUCUGAUGCUUCUUACAGCCUUUUCUUCUGUAAAACAGAAACAGGAUUUGUGAUUGUGUUUUACAUGCUUUCCCCAAACAUCAAUACAGUAGAUCAAGUGUGGAACAAUUAUUGUAUUUUAUCAUAUAAACUGACAUUUAUCUGUUCCUGGAUCACUCUAGGUAAUUUAGAGCUACAGUUUUUUGUCAACAAAUGGUUGCAACAUGUUUGUUUCCUGUCUGAUUAAAUCUCAUGUUCAGCACCAGCAGGUUUCAGGUGUGUCCACACCUCCAUCUGCUGAUCCUUCAGAGGAUUGUUUCAGGACAUGGAGCGACUGGGACGGCAGAUUAGAAGAAACUUUGCCAUGGAUGAAGAAGUGAAACACUACAAGGAAAUUUAGUCCCCGUUAUGAAGAGCAGCAGCUCUGAUUCUGGAUUUAUCGUCCCUGAAACACAACUAACUCAACAUGUCAGACAUUAAUAAAGAAGCAAAAUAACUGGAAACAGAUUCAUUUAUUUGUUCAACUUUCAUUGGUCAAAAAGUUUGUUUUACACCAGAAUCUACAUUUAAACAUCAUAGAAGAAAUAAAAAAAGCCAUUUUAAGACGAUGUACAAGAUAUAUACAUUAAAAAUACACAAAUACACACACACACUGUAUAUACAGUAUUUAAAGUCAGAGCAUCAGUUUUUGCACACACUGGGGUUUAGAGGUCUGAGUCUACAACAACAUAAAACUAAUGAUUUUAUUGAACUAGUCAACACAAAUCAAAUA